rnacentral:rRNA from 1 species
GAUGAACGCUAGCGGCAGGCCUAAUACAUGCAAGUCGAACGAGAUUACGAGGCUUGCUUCUUAUGAAAGUGGCGCACGGGUGCGUAACGCGUAUGCAACCUACCUUAAUCAGGGGGAUAGCCCGAAGAAAUUCGGAUUAAGACCGCAUAAAAACACAGGAUAGCAUUAUCCAAUGUUCAAAUAUUUAUAGGAUUAAGAUGGGCAUGCGUGUCAUUAGCUAGUUGGCGGGGUAACGGCCCACCAAGGCGACGAUGACUAGGGGAUCUGAGAGGAUGACCCCCCACACGGGUACUGAGACACGGACCAGAAUACUACGGGAGGCAGCAGUAAGGAAUAUUGGUCAAUGGAGGGAACUCUGAACCAGCCAUGCCGCGUGCAGGAAGACAGCCCUCUGGGUCGUAAACUGCUUUUAUUCGGGAAUAAACCUUUCUACGUGUAGGAAGCUGAAUGUACCGAAGGAAUAAGGAUCGGCUAACUCCGUG